rnacentral:lncRNA from 1 species
AAUUUUUAUUUUUAUAAUAAAAAACGCUCCAUAUGGCCAAUUCAAUAAAUAUUUGCCUCAGUCUUAUAUUCAUUAUUCUUGUUUCUAAAUUACCUUUUCGUGAUUGUAAGUAUAUUCAACAUUUUUAUUUUAAAUUAAUGUGCAAAUAUAAUGCUCCAUCUUACACACACACAGAGUUACACACAUAGACAUGUAUGUGUGUAUGUAUGUAUGUAUGUAUGUAUGUCUCUUGUAUAUUGAUUUACCUCUAUAUUUUUAAAUUUCUCACAUAAAGUAUAACUCAAUGUCAUUACAUUUACUAUUGAUGUAUUAUUUUUCAGAUGUUCAAGAAUUAUUUAAAAAAUUAAUGUCGUUCAAUUUAAUGUAUUUGCAGUGUAUUUUAUAUAUUUAUUUUAUUUUAUUUUUUAAUGUACAUAAAUAAUUUUGUUAUAAUAUAUUUUUCUAUAUCUAUGAUAUAGGUGCGGUGAAUGAAGGACUGGGCAUGGUUCAAUACGGUGAAAACAAAAUUUCGAGCAUCAAAGGCCAGGCCAAUGCAGCUUCUAACAACUUAAAAGCUGGAUAUUGUUUGCCA